rnacentral:rRNA from 1 species
GAUGAACGCUGACAGAAUGCUUAACACAUGCAAGUCUACUUGAUCCUUCGGGUGAUGGUGGCGGACGGGUGAGUAACGCGUAAAGAACUUGCCCUGCAGUCUGGGACAACAUUUGGAAACGAAUGCUAAUACCGGAUAUUAUGUGAGUUUCGCAUGAAAUUCAUAUGAAAGCUAUAUGCGCUGCAGGAGAGCUUUGCGUCCUAUUAGCUAGUUGGUGAGGUAACGGCUCACCAAGGCGAUGAUAGGUAGCCGGCCUGAGAGGGUGAACGGCCACAAGGGGACUGAGACACGGCCCUUACUCCUACGGGAGGCAGCAGUGGGGAAUAUUGGACAAUGGACCAAAAGUCUGAUCCAGCAAUUCUGUGUGCACGAUGAAGUUUUUCGGAAUGUAAAGUGCUUUCAGUUGGGAAGAAGAAAGUGACGGUACCAACAGAAGAAGCGACGGCUAAAUACGUGCCAGCAGCCGCGGUAAUACGUAUGUCGCAAGCGUUAUCCGGAUUUAUUGGGCGUAAAGCGCGUCUAGGCGGUUUGGUAAGUCUGAUGUGAAAAUGCGGGGCUCAACUCCGUAUUGCGUUGGAAACUGCCAAACUAGAGUACUGGAGAGGUAGGCGGAACUACAAGUGUAGAGGUGAAAUUCGUAGAUAUUUGUAGGAAUGCCGAUGGGGAAGCCAGCCUACUGGACAGAUACUGACGCUAAAGCGCGAAAGCGUGGGUAGCAAACAGG